UACGAAGGGGGCUAGCGUUGUUCGGAUUUACUGGGCGUAAAGCGCACGUAGGCGGACUAUUAAGUCAGGGGUGAAAUCCCGGGGCUCAACCCCGGAACUGCCUUUGAUACUGGUAGUCUUGAGUUCGAGAGAGGUGAGUGGAAUUCCGAGUGUAGAGGUGAAAUUCGUAGAUAUUCGGAGGAACACCAGUGGCGAAGGCGGCUCACUGGCUCGAUACUGACACUGAGGUGCGAAAGCGUGGGGAGCAAACAGG
rnacentral:rRNA from 1 species